rnacentral:rRNA from 1 species
GAAGUAAAAGUCGUACCAUGGUCUCCGUAGGUGAACCUGCGGAGGGAUCAUUACACAAUAACAAGGCGGGCUGGACACCCCCAGCCGGGCACUGCUUCACGGCGUGCGCGGCUGGGCCGGCCCUGCUGAAUUAUUCACCCGUGUCUUUUGCGUACUUCUUGUUUCCUGGGUGGGCUCGCCCGCCAUCAGGACCAACCACAAACCUUUUGCAAUAGCAAUCAGCGUCAGUAACAACGUAAUUAAUUACAACUUUCAACAACGGAUCUCUUGGUUCUGGCAUCGAUGAAGAACGCAGCGAAAUGCGAUACGUAGUGUGAAUUGCAGAAUUCAGUGAAUCAUCGAAUCUUUGAACGCACAUUGCGCCCUUUGGUAUUCCAAAGGGCAUGCCUGUUCGAGCGUCAUUUGUACCCUCAAGCUUUGCUUGGUGUUGGGCGUCUUUUGUCUCCAGUUCGCUGGAGACUCGCCUUAAAGUCAUUGGCAGCCGGCCUACUGGUUUCGGAGCGCAGCACAAGUCGCGCUCUUUGCCAGCCAAGGUCAGCCUCCAGCAAGCCUUUUUUCAACCUUGACCUCGGAUCAGGUAGGGAUACCCGCUGAACUGAGCAU